UCAAACUUGGUCAUUUAGAGGAAGUAAAAGUCGUAACAAGGUUUCCGUAGGUGAACCUGCGGAAGGAUCAUUACUGAAUUACUGGGAGGUUGUAGCUGGCUCCUCGGAGCAUGUGCACGCCUUUCAAAUUCAUCUUAACCACCUGUGCACUUUUGUAGACUGUGACAACCCUCAGUGCUUAUUAGCACUGGAUUGAGAGACUGCGUUAAGCUGUCUUUCAACGUCAUAGUCUACGUUUAUAUCACAUACUAAAGUCUUAGAAUGUUUGUUGUUGGGUCUUGACGACCUAUAAAACUAAAUACAACUUUCAACAACGGAUCUCUUGGCUCUCGCAUCGAUGAAGAACGCAGC
rnacentral:misc_RNA from 1 species